UACGUAGGGGGCAAGCGUUAUCCGGAUUUACUGGGUGUAAAGGGAGCGUAGACGGCGAUGCAAGUCUGAAGUGAAAGGCGGGGGCCCAACCCCCGGACUGCUUUGGAAACUGUAUGGCUGGAGUGCAGGAGAGGUAAGUGGAAUUCCUAGUGUAGCGGUGAAAUGCGUAGAUAUUAGGAGGAACACCAGUGGCGAAGGCGGCUUACUGGACUGUAACUGACGUUGAGGCUCGAAGGCGUGGGGAGCAAACAGG
rnacentral:rRNA from 1 species